rnacentral:rRNA from 1 species
CUAAGAAUAUUCCGCAAUGGACGAAAGUCUGACGGAGCGACGCCGCGUGGAUGAUGAAGGCCGAAAGGUUGUAAAGUCCUUUUGCUGGGGAAGAAUAAGCGUAGGAGGGAA